rnacentral:lncRNA from 1 species
AGAGAUGGUGUCUCGCUAUGUUGCCCAAGUUGGUCUUGAACUCCUGGCUGCAAGCAAUCCUCCUACCUCAGUCUCCCAAAGUGCCGGGAUUACAAGCAUACAUUUUAAAUGGUGGUAUUUUAUUGCACUAAAAUUUUACUUUGAUAAAGUUGAUGAGACAAAUUGUGAGUAAAAUACAUAUAAGGAGUAACAAUUUAUGGGAAAUCUCAAUCUGCAAAACAGGCUUUCCUCUGCCGAUGCCCUGUGGACUUGGUGGGAGACCUGGCCGGCAUCCACUCUCUCACCCAUCUUGAGACCUCAUUGUUAGUGCUAAGUCAUGAGACAAGCUAGGAAUUCUGUUUCAGCUCUUAGUUGAGAGACUUUCCCUCCUCUUCUCAGCCCUGGUAUGAUUUCUCAGGCUGUCAUCUCUUUUUCCCCCACCUUUCCAGAACUCCUAGGGAUUUGAGCAGCUCAUUCUUGCCCAGCCCACUUCUCACUGGAGGGCCAGGUCUUUUCCAAGUUCACGGAGAGAGAAGUGAACUUUUACCUUCAUUUGCCCUCUUUUUCUCUUCUGCUCACUACUUUUUCUGUCUAGGCCCCCUAGUCAUGUCCUAUUUCUGCUGGGCUCUUCCAGACCUUCCUGCCCACUCAGUUCUUCACUUCCACCCCCAAUUCCUGUCCUAAUGUCACCGUGGCACAGCUCAUGAGAAGUUUCAGGAGCUACCCUUUGAUUUCAGAGUGACUCAAGGACUCAGGAAAGAGGGGAUGACCCCAAAUGAACCAGCAGCCAACCAGACAAUGCCUGGACAGAGUUGAAACUCCUCAGUGGUGCCCACUGGGCCAUCACACUCUGGUCUUUGCACAUGCCUGGAACCCCGGCGAUCUCUUGUUUCUCCACCAAGGGAACUCUGCUUGUAACACUUUAAGCCUCAGCUGAAAAGUGGUCUCCUGGGUGAAGUCUCACCUGUGCACCCACCUGAGGGUGAGUCAGCUCUGCUCCCCUGGCUCUCACCGCGGCUGUUAUAGCAUUUACCGGAGUCCCACAGUGACUCAUUUGUCCAUCACCC